rnacentral:tRNA from 1 species
UGGCGGCUGGCAGAGAGGCAAUGCGCCGGAUUGCAAAUCCGGAUUUCACCGGUUCAAAUCCGGUGCCGCCAUCCA